rnacentral:rRNA from 1 species
AUGCAAGCGGACCGAGGCGGAGGAGAAGUGGCUAGAGAGUGUCCGUCUGUGUCCGCUUUGGCCUCAAAACGAGACCAACUUUGGUCCAGAGAUGAGGUGAAACGGACACGAAACGGACGAAAAAGUAAAAUGGGGUCUGCCGCUGGAUCGUCUGGUAUGUCCGUUUUACCCCAAACGGACGCACCCGGACAAAAUGGGGUCGCGCGAUGGAGUUGGCCUAAGUACAGACUAUACCAAACAGAUGUGUCAGUUUACCUAGCCUUCUUCUCCAAGUUGGGCAUGUCCAUCAUGGGGAUCUUGCUUGCAUGCUCCCAGUUUGCAAGCAUCACGGAUGACGAGACCAUGGCCGGAGGAGAUGACUUGAAGCUGCUGGGCGCUUGGGCAAGUCCAUUUGUCACCAGGGUGAAGCUUGCGCUGAACUUCAAGGGCCUGAGCUUCGAGGAUGUCGAAGAGGACCUUAGCAACAAGAGCGAGCUCCUCCUCAGCUCGAACCCGGUGCACAAGAAGGUGCCCGUGCUCGUCCACAACGGAAAACCCAUUUGCGAGUCAGUGAUCAUCGUUCAGUACAUCGAUGAGGCGUUCGCCGGCAUCGGCCCCGCUCUCCUUCCCUCUGACCCCUACGAACGCGCCAUUGCCCGUUUCUGGGCCGCCUACGUUGACGAUAAGCUCGUCGCCCCAUGGGUACAGUCGUUGAGGGCCAAGACAGAGGAGGAGAAGUCCGAGGGGCUUAAGCAGACAUUUGCCGCGGUGGAGACACUGGAAGGAGCCCUGCGGGAGUGCUCCAAGGGAGAGGGCUACUUUGGUGGUGAGACCGUCGGGCUUGUGGACAUUUCACUUGGGAGCCUGCUCUCCUGGUUGAACGCGACAGAAGUGAUGUCCGGAACCAAGAUAUUUGAUCCUGUUAAGACUCCGCUCCUGGCAGCGUGGAUGGAGCGCUUUAGCAAGCUCGAUGCUGCCAAGGCGGCGUUGCCAGAAGUUGAUAGGGUGGUCGAAUUUGCCAAGAAGAGACAAGCACAGGCUGCUGCCGCCGCCGCUGCUUCAGAGACCAAGUAA